AUGGCCGAAAGAACCCAGCCGCAACCGAAGGCAACCUGGCCGCGGACCUGGAGCUCCAGGUGCUCAUCAUUGCGGAAGGAGGUACGACGUCGCGGCGGCGGCCUGCUGCAAGGUCGCGGACGCGAGGAUCCAAGGCGUCGGGCUAUGGGGCGUCGAGGAGGAGGCGGGUCGAUGCGGAGGCGUAAAGGCGAGGCAGAGGCGCGAGGGGUGCAGGAAGAUGGCCGGGGUGCACGGAGCAACGACGGUCGCUAG
rnacentral:rRNA from 1 species